GAUUGAGUUUGAUCCUGGCUCAGGACGAACGCUGGCGGCGUGCUUAACACAUGCAAGUCGAACGGUGACGAGGAGCUUGCUCCUCUGAUCAGUGGCGAACGGGUGAGUAACACGUGAGCAACCUGCCCCAGACUCUGGGAUAACAGUUGGAAACAGCUGCUAAUACCGGAUACGAGACGGAGAGGCAUCUCUACCGUCUGGAAAGUUUUUCGGUCUGGGAUGGACUCGCGGCCUAUCAGCUAGUUGGUGAGGUAAUGGCUCACCAAGGCGACGACGGGUAGCCGGCCUGAGAGGGCGACCGGCCACACUGGGACUGAGACACGGCCCAGACUCCUACGGGAGGCAGCAGUGGGGAAUAUUGCACAAUGGGCGAAAGCCUGAUGCAGCAACGCCGCGUGAGUGAUGAAGGCCUUCGGGUCGUAAAGCUCUUUGAUCAGGGAUGAUAAUGACAGUACCUGAAAAACAAGCCACGGCUAACUACGUGCCAGCAGCCGCGGUAAAU
rnacentral:rRNA from 1 species